CCUCCUUCUGGUGUUUUGUGGUGAGCCCAGUGUAAGGGGCCUGUGCUAUUAUUUGCAUGCUGUGUUUGGCUUGGAGCUGGGGCUCUCAGACAGCGUUUGCUCAGCUCAUAUCUGGCCACGUGAGCCAGUGAGGCAGGCAGGUAAGGCUUCCAGGGCUGUGUCAGGCUGUGUGGAUGUGCAGGAAGAGGCAUGUCUCAGCCUCCCUUCCUCUCUCCUCCCCCUUAGAACACCUGAGCUGUGCAAAUCAGUCCAUUAGUGAACAUCUUCAUCCUGCAAGGCCAUUCCUUCUUCUGCAGUAUGAGGCAAAUGUAAAGGAACCUCCUGUAGGUCCCACUAUCCCUACAGAAAUGGUCAUCCUACAUCAGGAUGUAGGAUGAUCAAGAAUCCCUCUUGACAUCCUAUAUCACCCUACAUCCCUACAGGGAUGAUGGUUAUACGUCACCCUGGAUUCCUGCAGUGCCCACAGAUUUCACUGAUGAUAUGGUGGCUCAUUUUUACCAGUGCAAGAAAUUAGAGGCCAGACCCUGCUCUCUAGUCAUGCAAAGAGUUCAACAGCUGAAAAAUCACUUUCCUACUCUGUUGGUAGAGUAAAAAGCCCAUCCCAGACCAAUUAGUUCACAGACUGUUUGUGGAACUCCAUCCUGACUGGAGAAUGAUUUGAUGAUUAAGAGAGGACAGAAACUCCUGUUUUAGUGACUGGCUUUGCUACAGUCUUGGUACAUUAUCUUGGGAGUUCUGCAAGUAAUUCGUAGAAUUAUGGAAUCAGUAAGAUUGGAAAAGACCACUAAGAUCAUUUAGUCCCACCAUCAACCCAUCACCACCAUGCCCACUGAACAAUGUCCCUAAAUUACCAAUGUGAUGGGGUGUGCCUUUAAUUCAGACCAUUUUGCUGAUUAUGUGUAUAAAAAAGCUUCUAAAACACAGUGCAACUGAUGAGGGUGGUGAAGUGCAGAGAGGCUGGGAUUUUUUGAAUUGACUUUACCACUGAAAUGAGAGGGGACAGCCAAAGAUUGCCUAUCUGGAGAACUAGUAACUACAUAAGCAUAGCCAGAGGCUGUGCUUUGGAUUUCCUGGGAGUGUUCCUUUCAGUGGGAUAUUGGCAACACUGCAGCACAUACAAAACUCUACGAUAGUGAGGCCGUGACUGCUGGGGCAAGAGGAGAAAGCAAUGGGGAAAUUCAGGGAAAACAGCUAGAAGGCACUAAGGAGUUAUCCUUUAUGGAAGCAACAAGAUCAGCUGCCUCUACGCCAGUGCAUGCAGCCUGGGAAACAAACAGAAGGAACUAGAAGCUACUGUGCUGCUUGAAAGCUAUGAUUUAGUUGUCAUCACCAAAACCUUUUGGGAUGAUUCCCACAACUGGAGUGUGGCUAUCAAUGGCUACAAGAUGUUCAGAAGGAACAGGCAAGGAAGGAGGAGUGGGGGUGUUCCUGUCUACAUCAGGAAAGGAAUAAAAUGCGAAGUUAUCCCACAGUCAUGAGCAAGUCAAGAGCCAAUGGGUAACAAUUAGAGACUGAGUCAGCAAAGGGAGCCUUGUGAUCGUUGUCUACUACAGGCCACCAGAUCAGUGACACCCUGUCAAUGAGGCUUUCACCCUCCAGCUAUGUGAGAUUUUGGGAUUGCAAGUGCUCAUCCUGCUGGGGGACUUUAUAUCAUAGAAUCAUAGAAUGGCUUGGGUUGGAAGAGACCUCGGGUCAUCAAGCUCCAAUCCCCCUGCUGCAGGCAAGUCUGCCAACCUCCAUAUCUAAUGCUGGACUUCAACCACCAUCUGCUGGAAAAGUAGCACAGUGAGCUGGAGGCAAUCCAAGAGGCUCCUGGAAUGCACUGAGGAUAACUUCCUGAGUCAAGUAACUGACGGCCCCACCAAAGGGAAUGCAGUACUGGACCUGUUGCUCACCAAUGCAAAUGAACUGAUUGGUGAUAUCAAGAUUGGAGGCUUUCUGGCCUGUAGUGACCAUGCUAUGGUUGAGUUCAUGCUCCAGAGGGACACAAGAAAGAUGAAGAGUAAAAUUAAGAAACUAAACUUUAGGAAAGCUGACUUCCAGCUCUCCAGAGAAUUAGUCAACAAAACGUCCUGGGACUGUCCUCAUGGGCAAGGGUGCAGAGCAGAGCUGGUAGAUCUUUCAGGGGGGUUUCUUUAGGGCGCAAGAGCUUUCCAUCCUGAGGUGAAGCAAGUCAGGAAAGGAAGGCAAGAGACUAGCAUGGCUGAACUGGGACCUGGUGGUCAAGCUGAAGAGCAAGGAGAAAAUGCACAGACAGUGGAAACAGGGACAGGUACUGUGGAAAGACUGUAAGGAAGCUGCUAGGCUGUGGAGGGAUGGGGUCAGGCCAAUGCUCAGCUUGAACUGAACUUUGACUAGGGAUGCCAAAAAGAACAAGAAAAGCUUCUACAGGUACCUUAACCAGAAAAGAAAAGUCCAGAAGGCUGUACCCUCCCCUAGUGAGUGACACAAGCAGGCUGGUAACAACAGACAAGGAAAAGGCUGAGGUAAUUUUGUUAUUUUUUUACUAUGGUCUUCCCUGAUAACUUCUCACCACACAGCCCCCAGACAUUUUGUUUGUUAGGAGGAGAUCAGGGAAGCAAGGUCCCUUCCAGUUUAAGUGAAGAUCAGGUUCAUGACCACCUAAGAAGCCUGAAAAUCCACAAGUCUACAAUGGAUGAUGUCUGCUGAUGAGAUGCAUCCCAGAGUCCUGAGGAAAUUGGCUGAUGCAGUUGCCAAGCCACUCUCUAUGAUAUUUGAAAAGUUUGUGUCAAUCAGGUGAUGUCCCUGGUGACUGGAAAAAAGGAAACAUCAUAUCCACUUUUAAAAAGAGUAAAAAGGAAGAUCCUGGGAACUACUGACCUGUCAGUCUCUGCUCUGUGCCAGGGAAGAUCAUGGAAAAGAUCCUCCUGGAAGCAAUGCUAAGACACAUAGAAGGCAGGGAGGUUAUAUGGGAGAACCAGACUGAAUUCACCAAGGGCAAAUCCUGCUUGAUCGACCUAGUAGCCUUCUAUGACACCUUCUAUGCAGGUGUCACGGUGUCACUGCAUCAGUGGACAGGGGAGAGUCACUGAUGUCAUCAAUCUGGACUUCAAUAAGACCUUCGACACGUGUCCCUCCUCUGAACACGCUCCAACAGGUCCACAUGUGUUCUGUACUGAGGACUCCACAUCUGGGUGCAGUACUCCAGGGCUGAACUUCGGGAGCACAUUAUGUGCAGAUUUGUGGCUUGGACACAUGCUGUGUAAGAACAGUAUGGCCAUAUCCAACUGCCUCCAGGCUCGAGAGAAGAUUUGAAUUUUUGGCCAUUGUGGCCUGGGAAGAAUGCCCGAGGUCUGAAUUGAAACAGUGGAUUUAGCUUUGCAACAAGAAUCCUUUUCCAGGAAUAAUGCUGAUUAAGAGGUCUGAGAUUUCCCCAGAGGAAAUUAAGUCUUUUUCUCUUCAUGACAGCGGUUUUGGAUGAGCCCUUUCAGAUUUUUUGCUGGGUGUGAGAGCCUGAUUUCUGGGUAACUAUGAGAAAAAGAUCAGUUUGGAAAUGGGGACUUAACCAACUGACAAAAUGUUAAAUAUUCACAAAAAUCAUGUAGCAUGAAUCAGAGACAACCUUAAUUAUUUUUUUCCCUGAGUUCUAUAACUCACUGAGUCUUGAAAUAAAAUGCUAAUUUGCCAAAACCUGGCAAAUAUGCA